rnacentral:misc_RNA from 1 species
UCCGGGUUGGACCCGGCGGUCCCGCCAGACACGAUAACUGGCGGCGAGGGUUGCGCUCGUUGCGGGACUUAACCCAACACCUCACGGCACGAGCUGACGACAGCCGUGCAGCACCUGUGCACGCUCCCUUGCGGGUCGUCACCCUUUCGGGCUCCUACCACGUGCAUGUCAAGCCCAGGUAAGGUUCUUCGCGUUGCGUCGAAUUAAACCACACGCUCCGCUGCUUGUGCGGGCCCCCGUCAAUUCCUUUGAGUUUUAGCCUUGCGGCCGUACUCCCCAGGCGGGGCGCUUAAUGCGUUAGCUACGGCACGGAUCCCGUGGAAGGAAACCCACACCUAGCGCCCACCGUUUACGGCGUGGACUAC